rnacentral:tRNA from 1 species
GCGCGCGUGGCGGAAUUGGUAGACGCGCCGGAUUUAGGAUCCGGUUCCCUCGGGAGUGAAGGUUCGACUCCUUUCACGCGUACCA